rnacentral:rRNA from 1 species
AGCAGCCGCGGUAAUUCCAGCUCCAAUAGCGUAUAUUAAAGUUGUUGCAGUUAAAAAGCUCGUAGUUGAAUUUCGGGAUCAAUAUGUCGGUCGUGCCAUUGGUACGUACUGGUAUCAUUGAUUUCUCCUUUCUGACGAACCAUGAUGUCAUUAAUUUGGUGUUAUGGGGAGUUAGGACUGUUACUUUGAAAAAAUUAGAGUGUUUAAAGCAGGCAUUAGCUUGAAUACAUUAGCAUGGAAUAAUGAAAUAGGACGUUUGACCCUAUUUUGUUGGUUUCUAGGAUCGACGUAAUGAUUAAUAGGGAUAGUUGGGGGCAUUAGUAUUCAAUUGUCAGAGGUGAAAUUCUUGGAUUUAUUGAAGACUGACUACUGCGAAAGCAUUUGCCAAGGAUGUUUUCAUUAAUCAAGAACGAAAGUUAGGGGAUCGAAGACGAUCAGAUACCGUCGUAG